ensembl:snRNA U6 U6 spliceosomal RNA
GUGCUCGCUUCAGCAGCACAGAUACAAAAUUGGAACGAAACAGAGAAGAUCAGCAUGGCCCUGUGCAAGGAGGACAUGCAAAUUCAUGAAGCAUUCCAUAUUAAA